AUUGCCCUAGUAACGGCGAGUGAAGCGGCAACAGCUCAAAUUUGAAAUCUGGCCCUUGGGUCCGAGUUGUAAUUUGUAGAGGAUGCUUUUGGUGCGGUACCUUCCGAGUUCCCUGGAACGGGACGCCAUAGAGGGUGAGAGCCCCGUCUGGUCGGAUACCAAUCCUCUGUAAAGCUCCUUCGACGAGUCGAGUAGUUUGGGAAUGCUGCUCUAAAUGGGAGGUAUAUGUCUUCUAAAGCUAAAUAUUGGCCAGAGACCGAUAGCGCACAAGUAGAGUGAUCGAAAGAUGAAAAGCACUUUGAAAAGAGGGUUAAACAGUACGUGAAAUUGUUGAAAGGGAAGCGCUUGUGACCAGACUUGGGCCCGGUUAAUCAUCCAUCGUUCUCGGUGGUGCACUUGGCCGGCCCAGGCCAGCAUCAGUUCGGCGUGGGGGAUAAAGGCGGCGGGAAUGUGGCUCCUCCGGGAGUGUUAUAGCCCAUCGUGCAAUACCCUGUGCUGGACUGAGGUUCGCGCAUCUGCAAGGAUGCUGGCGUAAUGGUCAUCAGCGACCCGUCUUGAAACACGGACCAAGGAGUCGUCUUCGUAUGCGAGUGUUCGGGUGUCAAACCCCUACGCGUAAUGAAAGUGAACGCAGGUGAGAGCUUCGGCGCAUCAUCGACCGAUCCUGAUGUUCUCGGAUGGAUUUGAGUAAGAGCAUACGGAGCCGGACCCGAAAGAAGGUGAACUAUGCCUGUAUAGGGUGAAGCCAGAGGAAACUCUGGUGGAGGCUCGCAGCGGUUCUGACGUGCAAAUCGAUCGUCAAAUAUGGGCAUGGGGGCGAAAGACUAAU
rnacentral:rRNA from 1 species